GCCACUCGCGCAUCUACCUGCACGACGAGCCUCCUUCUCAAAGCGCUAAGAGGUUUCCUGGCAUCGUCGCGCUCUGGACACGGCAAAGGCGGAGGAGAGCUUCCCGAGUUUAGCUCUGCUGCAAGGAGCGUGGAGAUGGAUGAGAACCAAAGGUGAAGGUAUGGGUGCACGUUCGAUCCACGAAAACUAUCUGCUUAAAGCCUUUGAUGGCGCUGCAACGAGAGGCGCCAGCCACAAGCGACCAGGAAAAAAACUCUCUCUUGUUCCAGCCAACAGGAUCGAUUGAUGGCAAGCUGCCUCUGUGUCUCCUGAUCUGAGAUCUUCCUCGCACUGCACUAGCGAACCGUUUGUCUUCAAUAGACGGAUCAUGAGGCGCCACCCCCCAUCCCCCUGCAAA